rnacentral:rRNA from 1 species
AGUGAACGCUGGCGGUAGACCUAACACAUGCAAGUCGAACGGCAGCACAGUAAGAGCUUGCUCUUACGGGUGGCGAGUGGCGGACGGGUGAGGAAUACAUCGGAAUCUACUUUUUCGUGGGGGAUAACGUAGGGAAACUUACGCUAAUACCGCAUACGACCUACGGGUGAAAGCAGGGGAUCUUCGGACUUUGCGCGAUUGAAUGAGCCGAUGUCGGAUUAGCUAGUUGGCGGGGUAAAGGCCCACCAAGGCGACGAUCCGUAGCUGGUCUGAGAGGAUGAUCAGCCACACUGGAACUGAGACACGGUCCAGACUCCUACGGGAGGCAGCAGUGGGGAAUAUUAGACAAUGGGCGCAAGCCUGAUCCAGCCAUACCGCGUGGGUGAAGAAGGCCUUCGGGUUGUAAAGCCCUUUUGUUGGGAAAGAAAAGCAGCAGAUUAAUACCCCGCUGUUCUGACGGUACCCAAAGAAAAAGCACCGGCUAACUUCGUG